UACGUAGGGACCGAGCGUUGUCCGGAUUUAUUGGGCGUAAAGAGCGUGUAGGCGGCCAUGUAGGUCCGUUGUGAAAACUCGAGGCUCAACCUCGAGACGCCGAUGGAAACCAUGUGGCUAGAGUCCGGAAGAGGAGAGUGGAAUUCCUGGUGUAGCGGUGAAAUGCGCAGAUAUCAGGAAGAACACCCGUGGCUAAGGCGGCUCUCUAGUACGGUACUGACGCUGAGACGCGAAAGCGUGGGGAGCGAACAGG
rnacentral:rRNA from 1 species